UUCGGAUCGUAAAGUUCUGUUGUUAGGGAAGAACGACUAGAGUAGGAAAUGGCUCUAGAGUGACGGUACCUAACCAGAAAGCUCCGGCUAACUACGUGCCAGCAGCCGCGGUAAUACGUAGGGAGCGAGCGUUAUCCGGAAUUAUUGGGCGUAAAGCGUGCGUAGGCGGUAUGUUAAGUCAAAUGUGAAAGCCCAGGGCUUAACCCUGGAGAGUCAUUUGAAACUGGCAUGCUUGAGUACGGCAGAGGUAAGUGGAAUACAAUGUGUAGCGGUGGAAUGCGUAGAUAUAUUGUGGAACACCAGUGGGGAAGGCGGCUUACUGGACCGGAACUGACGCUGAUGCACGAAAGCGUGGGGAGCAAACAGGAUUAGAUACCCUGGUAGUCCACGCUGUAAACGAUGAGAACUAAGUGUUGGGGUUACCCAGGGCUGAAGUUAACGCAUUAAGUUCUCCGCCUGGGGAGUACGGCCGCAGGGUUGAAACUCAAAAGAAUUGACGG
rnacentral:rRNA from 1 species